GGGCCUAUAGCUCAGCUGGUUAGAGCGCACGCCUGAUAAGCGUGAGGUCGAUGGUUCGAGUCCAUCUAGGCCCACCA
rnacentral:tRNA from 6 species